GGAUGUGACUGUGGACUUCACCCAGGAGGAGUGGUGCUUGUUGGACCAUUCUCAGAAAGAGCUGUUCUUGGAGGUUAUGCUGGAGAAUGUGCAGAAUCUAUACUCUCUGGGACUUCCAGUUCCCAGAGAAGAUUUUAUCUCCUAUUUUCAGCAAGGAGAAGCACCAUGGCUUCUAGAGCAAAAAGGCCCAAGAAGCUCCUGUCCAGAGACAGAGACUAAUUUUGAAGUGAAGGAGAUGCCUACCAAGCUGAGCCUUUUUGUGGAAGGAUCUGGCCUCCAAAGAUGCAUGAAUGAGGGUUUCUCUGACUUUAUUUUGAGAGAAAUAAGGGACUCUAAUAUCAAGGGAAAUAA